UUCUUUCGGAGUCAGGACAAGACAAAGUGUGGGGAUCCGGGGACCCUGCACUCCUCCAAAGUGAGUUCCUCCUUUCGGCUCAGAGAUCUUGCUGCUGACCACCACAGGACACAGAAAUGGCAAAGACCAGAUGUGGGGAAGGCAGGACGGCUGCCUCUCCCCUGAUGAGGUUCCCUCAGUUCUAGCUUAACAUUUGUUCUUCCGUGAUCACCAGAAGACUCCUCAGGAUCCUGCUGCAGCGGUCUCCUAUUUUGACACAGGUUUUGGGCAUUUCUGAGAUCCCAGUGUGGUGCCCCUUCCCCACACCCCCCAGGCUGCAGUUUAUCUCCUUCUCAGCCUGGGCCAGGCACUGAGUCCAGCACUCAGCAGGGCAGAGCUUGUGGCUUCCUCGGGCUCCCCGCCCUGGGCUGGCACAGUGGGUGUGGGGCAGCCGCAGUGCCUUGGCUGCCCUGAUGCUUGCCAGUUGUCAUCUCUAGAGCUGAGUGCCCAGGUCCUGAUCUCCUUUUUGAUCCCAGUUCCCCUUUCCUAGGCCCCCGCCAAAGUGUCCCCUCCUGCUGUGACUUCUAGCCAAGAAGGCAUUUCUCCCAUGGCCAAGUGAUCUCUGAUAGAUCCUGUGGGACCACUGAAGUCAGACGGGACCAGUUGAGUCAGGGCCUGUGUCCAGUGCCCAGCAUGCUUGGGGAGUGACACAGACGAUGAUGAUCUUGUCACAGGCCGGUGUCUCAGGCACAGAUGCUGAGGCAGGUUGAGGUGCAGGAUGCACAUUGGGGGUUGGCACCAGGAAAGGCAGCGAGGACGGGAGAAGAGAGGUCGACUCAGGCAGCAGGAUCCGCGGAGCUGUGGUUGGCCCAGCAGGGAGCCCUGGAGGAGAACUGGCCAUGCUGUGCCAUGUGGGGCCAGGCUGGCUGGGACUCCACACCACGGCCUGGUGGGUCCCCAGUGUGGGCUGCCCUGGGCAGGUGUGACCUGGCAGCAUGGCUCUUUGCAGCCAGAGUGGGUCCACAGAAACCAAACGAGGCCAUCGCUGGUGCAGUGUUCUCCAGCAUGAAGCAAGAAUACAGUGGGGCCAGCCCUACGUGGACCCACACUUCCACGUUGGAGAGGGGUUCCAACAAGGUCCCGAGGGCCUCUCUUAAAGUGAAACUGGAAGAGGGAGACUUAAGGGGGCCACUAUAGCCCAUUCUUGCUGCUGGUCUUGGGGUUGCAUUCUUCCUUGAGUGCCCCCCCAAUUCACUACCACUUCUGCUGGGGUGCAACUUCCUGGCAGUCUGAGCCCUUCUUCAGACACCACCUUGCUGGGGCCAGUGGCUCCCUGGGUCCCCAGCUGUGGGAUGGCAGCCCCAUCUCCUGCCCACCAGGGUCUCCUAGACAUGAGAUGCAAUUCAUGCCCAUGAGGCAGCUGUGGCUUGUCAUUCAGCGCGUCUGCUGAGUAUGUGCCGCUCUAGUGUCAGCGACCCCUGACCCUGCUGAGCUCAGAGCUGGGAGGAUGAGCAGCAGAGACCCCCGCUAGGUCACUGGGAGGGACCAGAAGGGAGGCCCCUGCUCCCACCCUGGUUCCUGUUUCCUGCAUCCUUGUGCAGAGCCAGCACCGCAGAAAGGGCUGUCAUUUCGAAUUGGCCUCGUCCAGGGGCUGGACCCUGGGUUGGUGUCCACAUGUGUGGCAUGUGCCAGGACCUCAGCUCCUGGGUUCUUUGCUGUAACACUAGUCUCUCAGGCUGGCUGGCACUUUGCAGUUGGGGAGCUCCCAUUGCUGCUGGGGAGAAGAACUCAGACCCACAGCCCCUCUGAUGGCUCCACUGGGGUCAGCUGGCCAGCCAGGAGCCACGCUUGGACACUUUCCUCUUCCCCCUCCUUGGGGGGUACCCCGCAAUGACCACUGCUGUGAUGCCUCCACUGGGGCGUGCGGCUCUGGGUUCUGCCCGCACUCAGCCCUGAGGUGCCGCUCCUGUCUACUGUGGCCCUGCUGGGCUGUGCACCCUGUGCCUGGUAGGUGUGAUGGGUGCCUCUGGCCACAUGGUCCCAUGGUCCAGGACCCGGUUGCACAUGAACCUUCUGCCACCCUGCUCAGAAGCCCCAGGAGCCACGUGGAGAUUCUCUCACUGGGCUUGCUGCAGCCUCCACAGAGCCGCCCCUCCCGCCACAGAGGUCUCCACCUUAGGUCCGCCUGCUCCCUUGUGUCAGCAGCAGACAGCCCGCACACUGCAGGGUCCCUUGUGGGGCUGGCGGCCUCUGUGUGGGACCUGUCUGUAGGCCAGAGAAGUUCUGGGGGUGGGGGGGCCUCGCUGCCUGUAGAACCCUGGAGGGCACCUGGCCUUGGGCCUCCCCCUCUCCAUUGUGGGAAGUGCAGGUGCAUAAGCUUGUCUGGCACUGGGAUGGGGUUGUCUGGUACUCCCUGCUCAGACACCCUAAUGAUUUCGGAGAGUUGGGCUGUGCCUCCUGGCUUCUCACGCUCUCAGGGGUGUGUGUGUCUUAACACACUGACCACCAGCUUGUCCUUCCUGGUCAGCAUCCAGUUCCAGGUCUCUGGGCACUCAUGCCCGGACAGGAGAGCUGGCACAGCCUGGAGGCAAAGUGGCAAAUGUGAGCUGUUGUCUGCUCCACGUGGACGCGGAGUUUGCUGUGUUUUUUCCUGAUUGAGAUAGAGGUGCACUCAUCUGGUCCAGGGCUCAGCACUCGUACCUGAGGCCACAGGGGCUGUGCCCUGUCUUGCCCAGAGUCGCCAGCGAGCCCAGGACUGACUGGCCCAGCCUGCAGAGGUCUGAGCUCAGUGACUUUGGCCCUGUCCUGGCAGGGAGGGCUCGCUUCGUAGAUGGUGCUGGUCAGUCUUGUCAUCUGCAUGGCCACACUCCCUCCCUGCACGAGGUGCUGGCCCAGAGCCCCACAGGUGCACUCCCUCAACGGGCCAGGCUGUGGUCUGGGUUCCUCCAGCCCCCAAACCCUAUCUUUUUUUUGAGAUGGGGUCUCUCAUUCUCACCCAGGCUGGAGUGCAGUGGCGUGAUCAGAGCUCACUACAGCCUCAACCUCCCAGGUGCAAGCCAUCCUCCCACCUCAGCCUCCCGAGUAGCUAGGACUACAGGCGCACAUUACCAUAAGCUUUUGUAGAGACGGGGUCUCACUAUGUUGCCCAGGUUGGCCGUGAACUCCUGGGCUCAGGUGAUCCUCCUGCUUCUGCCUCCCAAAGUGUUGGGAUAAUAAGUGUGAGCCACCACGCCUGGCCCAAUCCCUGUCUUUCACUUUUUUCUCUGGCCACCAUCAGGCCAAAGGUUGCAGGCAGGUUUUCAGGAGCAGUGUCUGGGGACACCUCCCCCAGAUCUCCCCACAACCCCGGAAUGCAUCCCAGAAGGGUCUUGCAGUUGGAGGCUGCCCUCUUGCCCCUUCCUCAUGUGAGCCCCUCACCGUGGCUGUGACACAGGCCUGGCCCUGCUGGCCCUUGGCAGGGUGGGGACUGAGCCCCACCUCCUGGUGCUUUCC